AUUGAACGCUGGCGGCAGGCCUAACACAUGCAAGUCGAGCGGAUGAAGGGAGCUUGCUCCUGGAUUCAGCGGCGGACGGGUGAGUAAUGCCUAGGAAUCUGCCUGGUAGUGGGGGAUAACGUCCGGAAACGGGCGCUAAUACCGCAUACGUCCUGAGGGAGAAAGUGGGGGAUCUUCGGACCUCACGCUAUCAGAUGAGCCUAGGUCGGAUUAGCUAGUUGGUGGAGUAAAGGCCUACCAAGGCGACGAUCCGUAACUGGUCUGAGAGGAUGAUCAGUCACACUGGAACUGAGACACGGUCCAGACUCCUACGGGAGGCAGCAGUGGGGAAUAUUGGGCAAUGGGCGAAAGCCUGAUCCAGCCAUGCCGCGUGUGUGAAGAAGGUCUUCGGAUUGUAAAGCACUUUAAGUUGGGAGGAAGGGCAGUAAGUUAAUACCUUGCUGUUUUGACGUUACCAACAGAAUAAGCACCGGCUAACUUCGUG
rnacentral:rRNA from 1 species